rnacentral:rRNA from 1 species
GCAGUCGAGGGGCAUCAAAAAAAAUAUAAGAUAAGUUUACUUAACUUAUGUUUUUUGUUUGGCAACCGGCGUAAGGGUGAGUAAUACAUACKUAAYUUUCCUUAUGCUGAAGGAUAGCCCGAGGAAACUUGGAUUAAUACUUCAUAAUACCAUUUUUUAUUAAGAAAUUUGGUUAAAGUUAUUAUGGCAUAAGAUAGGCGUUUGUCCRAUUAGUUAGUUGGGAAGGUAAUGGCUUACCAAGACAUUGAUCGGUAGGGGGCCUGAGAGGGCGUACCCCCACWUUGGUACUGAGACACGGACCAAACUACUACGGAAGGCAGCAGUGAGGAAUAUUGGUCAAUGGAGGCAACUCUGAACCAGCCACUCCGCGUGUAGGAAGAAGGCAAUUUAGGUUGUAAACUACUUUUGUAUAUGAAUAAAAAAUUCUAUUUUUAGAAAAAUUGAAGGUAAUAUACGAAUAAGUAUCGGCCAACUCUGUGCCAGCAGCCGCGGUAAAACAGGGGAUACCAGCGUWUCCGGAUUUAUUGGGUUUAAAGGGUGCGUAGGUUGUUUUUUAAGUCAGUAGUGAAAUCUUAAAGCUUAACUUUAAAAGUGCUAUUGAGACUGAUAAACUAGAGUGAGGUUGGAGUAACUGGAAUGUGUGGUGGAGCGGUGAAAUGCAUAGAGAUCACACAGAACACCAAUAGCGCAAGCAGGUUACUAAACCUAGACUGACACUGAGGCACGAAAGCAUGGGUAGCAAACAGGAUUAGAUACCCUGGUAGUCCAUGCCGUAAACGAUGAUCACUAACUAUUGGAGAAUAAUUCAGUGGUCAAGCGAAAGUGAUAAGUGAUCCACCUGAGGAGUACGACCGCAAGGUUGAAACUCAAAGGAAUUGACGGGGGUCCGCACAAUCGGUGGAGCAUGUGGUUUAAUUCGAUGAUACGCGAGGAACCUUACCAAAACUUAAAUGUAUUACGAAUAAAUUGGAAACAAUUUAGUCAUUAGACGGAGUACAAGGUGCUGCAUGGUUGUCGUCAGCUCGUGCCGUGAGGUGUGAGGUUAAGUCUUUGAACGAGCGCAACCCUUAUUAUUAGUUACCAUCAAGUAAUGUUGGGGACUCUAAUAAGACUGCCGGCGUAAGCCGAGAGGAAGGUGGGGACGACGUCAAAUCAUCACGGCCCUUAUGUUUUGGGCCACACACGUGUUACAAUGGUCGGUACAAAAGGCAGCAACUGGGUGACCAGAAGCAAAUCUUUAAAGCCGAUCUAAGUUCGGAUUGGAGUCUGCAACUCGACUCUAUGAAGCUGGAAUCGCUAGUAAUCGUGCAUCAGCCAUGGCGCGGUGAAUAUGUACCCGGGCCUUGUACACACCGCCCGUCAAGCCAAAGAAGUUGGAAGUACCUAAAAUCGGUGACCUUUAUAGAAGGAA